GCUUCGAUAGCUCAGUUGGUAGAGCGGAGGACUGUAGAUCCUUAGGUCGCUGGUUCGACUCCGGCUCGAAGGACA
rnacentral:tRNA from 1 species